UAGAGGUCAUAUGACUGACGGAAGUGGAGUACCACAUGAAGUAUGACUAGAUAAUGCCGACCGUCUGGGCGAUGACG
rnacentral:ncRNA from 2 species